UACAGAGGGUGCAAACGUUGCUCGGAGUUACUGGGCGUAAAGCGCGUGUAGGCGGUGCCGCACGUCCGGUGUGAAAGCCCAGGGCUCAACCCUGGAAGUGCACUGGAUACGACGGCGCUGGAGUCCUGAAGAGGAGGCGGAAUUCCCGGUGUAGAGGUGAAAUUCGUAGAUAUCGGGAGGAACACCAGUGGCGAAGGCGGCUCUCUGGACAGGUACUGACGCUGAGACGCGAAAGCGUGGGUAGCAAACAGG
rnacentral:rRNA from 1 species